CUGGAGGAUCACUGGCAGGGGAUAACGGUGACGAUGGUGAGCAAGGCCCACCUGGCCCCCCAGGAGUAGAAGAAGUCAUAGAAUUUCCUCCAGACUUUCUUCCUCCCAAAGGUUACAAGGGAGAUAGGGGUCUUCCUGGACCAUGUGGACCAAAGGGCAAAAGG